AGAAAAGGGUGAAUUUAUUGUUGAUAAGGAAAGGGAAAGAAUUCUAGGGGAAGUAAGCUAAAGAAGUUAGAAAAAAAUCUAGUAAAGGUUUUGGGAAUGUUAAAGAAAAGAAUGAGGUUCUUGUUAGCUAAAGAAGAAGGGUUAAAAGCCUUUGGUUUUAAA
rnacentral:sRNA from 1 species